rnacentral:rRNA from 1 species
GAUGAACGCUGGCGGCGUGCCUAAUACAUGCAAGUCGAGCGAACAGACGAGGAGCUUGCUCCUCUGACGUUAGCGGCGGACGGGUGAGUAACACGUGGAUAACCUACCUAUAAGACUGGGAUAACUUCGGGAAACCGGAGCUAAUACCGGAUAAUAUAUUGAACCGCAUGGUUCAAUAGUGAAAGACGGUUUUGCUGUCACUUAUAGAUGGAUCCGCGCCGCAUUAGCUAGUUGGUAAGGUAACGGCUUACCAAGGCGACGAUGCGUAGCCGACCUGAGAGGGGGAGCGGCCACACGGGAACUGAGACACGGUCCAGAGUCCUACGGGAGGCAGCAGUAGGGAAUCUUACGCAAUGGGCGAAAGCCUGACGGAGCAACGCCGCGUGAGUGAUGAAGGUCUUCGGAUCGUAAAACUCUGUUGUUAGGGAAGAACAAAUGUGUAAGUAACUAUGCACGUCUUGACGGUACCUAAUCAGAAAGCCACGGCUAACUACGUG